GACGAACGCUGGCGGCGUGCUUAACACAUGCAAGUCGAACGAAGUGGCGAACGGGUGAGUAAUACGUGAGUAACCUGCCCUCCUUUUUGGGAUAAGCCUUGGAAACGGGGUCUAAUACCGAAUAAAGGGGGAUGGGCUCGCGGCCUAUCAGCUUGUUGGUGGGGUGAUGGCCUACCAAGGCGGUGACGGGUAGCCGGCCUGAGAGGGUGACCUGGCACAUUGGGACGGGGCAACGGCCCAGACUCAUACGGGAGUCAGCAGUGUGGGAUAUUGCACGAGGGGCGAAAGCCUGAUGCAGCGGCGCGGCGUGGGGGAUGAAGGCUUGCGGGUUGUAAACCUCUUUCGCUAUCGACGGGGUAGGUGGAGAAGAAGCGCCGGCUAACUACGUGCCAGCAGCCGCGGUAAUAC
rnacentral:rRNA from 1 species